rnacentral:rRNA from 1 species
UACGGGGGGGCGAAGCGUUGUUCGGAAUUACUGGGCGUAAAGGGCUUGUAGGCGGCCAACUAAGUCAGACGUGAAAUCCCUCGGCUUAACCGGGGAACUGCGUCUGAUACUGGAUGGCUUGAGUUUGGGAGAGGGAUGCGGAAUUCCAGGUGUAGCGGUGAAAUGCGUAGAUAUCUGGAGGAACACCGGUGGCGAAGGCGGCAUCCUGGACCAACACUGACGCUGAGUGAGCGAAAGCCAGGGGAGCAAAGCGGGAUAGAAACCCCUG